GUGAAUCAUCAAAUCUUUGAACGCAAAUUGCACUCUCUUUGGAGAGUAUGCCUGUUUGAGGGUCAGUAAUAAUAAAAUCGGGGUGUUGCUUUCUUUGUGACGCACCGGAGAUUGGGCUACCUUUAACUCUCGGGUUUAAGAUGCUUAAAAUUGAACUUUUUUGCGCACUUUUAGACGUACAUAAAUUUAUUUUAUCGUUUAUUCUGGUGCCAAUUAUCUAUUAGGUGCGAUCAUGUUAUAUGAUCUCGUGCCUAUAAUUUCUCAUCUUUUGACCUCAAAUCAGGUAAGGAUACCCGCUGAA
rnacentral:misc_RNA from 1 species